rfam:Triticum aestivum genome assembly, contig: Triticum_aestivum_CS42_TGACv1_scaffold_020103_1AS
GGGCAGAGGAUGUGAAACAUUUAGACCGCUGCGGUCUUUCCGGUCUUUGAUGAUCUAAAAUUAAGCUUUUUAAAACUGAUGCUUA